rnacentral:ncRNA from 1 species
CAGCGCGCUGUCAAAUAAGGCAGCUUUCUAGAGUAAUCUAGAUUGAAACUUCUUGGGAUAUCGGUGAACGCUAAGCCGAGCAUAUUCUGUAGGAUGUGCUUCGAUAUGCUAACACCGAGGGAACCCUGCUUCUUGUGGGGGCACCGUAGAGACUAGAUACCGAGACAUCCCGCUUUUAGCGGGAUGAAGAUAUAGUCCUCGCCAUUAUGAAAAUAGUGG